rnacentral:rRNA from 1 species
UUAAUUGAGAGUUUGAUCCUGGCUCAGGACGAACGCUGGCGGCGUGCUUAACACAUGCAAGUCGAGCGAUGAAAUUCCUUCGGGAAUAGAUUAGCGGCGGACGGGUGAGUAACACGUGGGUAACCUGCCUCAUAGAGGGGAAUAGCCUUUCGAAAGGAAGAUUAAUACCGCAUAAGAUUGUAG